rnacentral:lncRNA from 1 species
GGUCUCUCAUUGAACCUGGGACUCAUCGUUUUGGUUAGCCUGCCUGGCUACAGAGCUCUGAGCAUCACCCUUGCUCCAUUCUUCAUGACUGGGAUUACAGUGGCGUGAUGUGAUCCACCGGCUAGAGGGGACGCCAAUGGAAGGCGUCCAAUAAGCUAAUUCUCCUGUCAUUAAGAAUAUUACCUGCUUAGUGAUGACACCCUAUGGAAGAAGGCCUCACCAUCCAGGGGAAGCAGAAAGGAUAUGUGAUAGGAAAUGGCUACAAAGGAACACCACUGAAGAUCAACAGCUACUGUCAGAAAGAAGAGACACUGCUCAGGCUGAGGUGUCAGGUAAUCUGUGUUGAGAUCCUUGCAUUCAC